UUUGAUCCUGGUUCAGGGCGACGGCUGGCGGCGUGCUUCAAUACAAUGCAAGUCGAACGAGAAUCCGGGUGCUUGCACCGGAGGAAAGUGGCGGACGGGUGAGUAAUGUGUAGAGAAUCUGCCCUGAAGAGGGGGGACAACAGAGGGAAACUUCUGCUAAUACCCCAUAUGCGCGUAGUUGAGAUACUAUUCGUGAAAGAUUUAUCGCUUCAGGAUGAGUCUGCAUCUGAUUAGCUAGUUGGGGGUGUAAUGGACCACCAAGGCGACGAUCAGUAGCUGGUUUGAGAGGAUGAUCAGCCACAAUGGGACUGAGACACGGCCCAUACUCCUACGGGAGGCAGCAGUAGGGAAUUUUGCGCAAUGGGCGAAAGCCUGACGCAGCAACGCCGCGUGAUCGUAGAAGCCCUUCGGGGUGUAAAGAUCCGUCAGUAGGGACGAACAAUGACUGUACCUACAGAGGAAGCACCGGCUAACUCCGUGCCAGCAGCCGCGGUAAUACGGGGGGUGCGAGCGUUGUCCGGAAUCAUUGGGCGUAAAGAGUUCGUAGGUGGUUUGUUAAGUUUGGUGUUAAAGGCGCAGGCUCAACUUGUGUAUGGCAUCGGAUACUGGCAGACUGGAAUGCGGUAGAGGUAAAGGGAAUUUCUGGUGUAGCGGUGAAAUGCUUAGAUAUCAGGAAGAACAUCGGUGGCGUAAGCGCUUUACUGGGCCGUAAUUGACACUGAGGAACGAAAGCCGGGGUAGCAAAUGGGAUUAGAUACCCCAGUAGUCCCGGCCGUAAACGAUGGAUACUAGGUGUUGCGGGUAUCGACCCCUGCAGUGCCGCAGCUAACGCGUUAAGUAUCCCGCCUGGGGAGUACGCACGCAAGUGUGAAACUCAAAGGAAUUGACGGGGACCCGCACAAGCGGUGGAACAUGUGGUUUAAUUCGAAGCAACGCGAAGAACCUUACCAGGGCUUGACAUCCUCCUGAAUGCCCCUUAACCGGGACAGUCCUUCGGGACAGGAGAGACAGGUGGUGCAUGGUUGUCGUCAGCUCGUGUCGUGAGAUGUUGGGUCAAGUCCCGCAACGAGCGCAACCCCUGUCCUUAGUAGCCAGCAGCGAGAUGGGAACUCUAAGGAGACUGCCGGGGACAACCCGGAGGAAGGUGGGGAUGACGUCAAAUCAUCAUGCCCCUUACGGUCUGGGCUACACACGUAAUACAAUGGCGUUAAACAGAGGGAAGCAAAGCCGCGAGGCAGAGCAAAACCCUAAAAGGCGUCUCAGUUCGGAUCGCAGUCUGCAACUCGACUGCGUGAAGUUGGAAUUGCUAGUAAUCGCGGAUCAGCAUGCCGCGGUGAAUACGUUCCCGGGCCUUGCACUCACCGCCCGUCA
rnacentral:rRNA from 1 species